ACAAAUAAUCUGCGCAUGAGCCAAG
rnacentral:piRNA from 1 species